rnacentral:rRNA from 1 species
UACGUAGGGUGCGAGCGUUGUCCGGAAUUAUUGGGCGUAAAGAGCUCGUAGGCGGUCUGUCGCGUCGGCUGUGAAAUCCCGAGGCUCAACCUCGGGUCUGCAGUCGAUACGGGCAAACUAGAGUAUUGCAGGGGAGACUGGAAUUCCUGGUGUAGCGGUGAAAUGCGCAGAUAUUGGGAAGAACACCAGUGGCGAAGGCGGUUCUCUGGGACGGUACUGACGCUGAGACGCGAAAGCGUGGGGAGCGAACAGG